CGGUGGUUAUGGCGGAGGGGAAACACCCGGUCCCAUUCCGAACCCGGAAGUUAAGCCCUUCAGCGCCGAUGGUACUGCAUGGGAGACUGUGUGGGAGAGUAGGACACCGCCGGACA
rnacentral:rRNA from 1 species